UAAUCCUCGAGUUGUUUUAUGGCACUCUUUAUAAUCCAUAUCCACCUUGUGUGCAAUGUUUGUUGGGAAAGUCUUUUUCUUUCCCUUCAUAAAUAUCAACCUAUAUCUUUAACAACAUUCGUCUGAUAACAUAUUAUGAAUAUACUUAAUUCAAAAUAUAACUUUCAACAACGGAUCUCUUGGCUCUCGCAUCGAUGAAGAACGCAGCGAAAUGCGAUACGUAAUGUGAAUUGCAGAAUUCAGUGAAUCAUCGAAUCUUUGAACGCAUAUUGCGCUCUUUGGUAUUCCGAAGAGCAUGCUUGUUUGAGUAUCAGUAAACACCUCAACCUCUCUUUUUUGAUAAAAAAAAAAGGGAGGGUGGACUUGAGCUAUCCCAACGACCUUCACCGGUAGGCGGGCGGCUUGAAAUGCAGGUGCAGCUGGACUUUUAUCUGAGCUAAAAGCAUAUCUAUUUAGUCCUCGUCAAACAGGAUUAUUACUUUUGCUGCAGCUAACAUAAAGGAUAAUUGUCCUCUUUGCUGACUGAUGCAGGAUUUUACGACACUUUAUGUGUUGUUCAACUCGAUCUCAAAUCAAGUAAGACUACCCGCUGAACUUAAGCAUAUCAAUAAGCGGGAGGAA
rnacentral:rRNA from 1 species